CACUCUAAGGGGACUGCCGGUGAUAAGCCGAGAGGAAGGUGGGGAUGACGUCAAGUCCUCAUGGCCCUUACGGGCUGGGCUACACACGUGCUACAAUGGUGGUGACAGUGGGCAGCGAGACCGCGAGGUCGAGCUAAUCUCCAAAAGCCAUCUCAGUUCGGAUUGCACUCUGCAACUCGAGUGCAUGAAGUUGGAAUCGCUAGUAAUCGCAGAUCAGCAUGCUGCGGUGAAUACGUUCCCGGGCCUUGUACACACCGCCCGUCACACCAUGGGAGUUGGUUUUACCCGAAGGCGCUGCGCCAACCCGCAAGGGAAGCAGGCGACCACGGUAGGGUCAGC
rnacentral:rRNA from 1 species